AUCGCUUCUCGGCCUUUUGGCUAAGAUCAAGUGAAGAAAUCCAGAAUAAAUUUGUCAUAUUUACCUUUUUUUAAAGUUUUUAUUUAAAUUCCGUUUAACAUACAGUGUAAUAUUAGUUUCAGGUGUACAAUAUAGUGAUUCAACACUUCCGUACAACACCUGGUGCUU
rnacentral:snRNA from 1 species